GUAUGACCCCAGGAUGGGCGGGGUGACCCGCUGAGUUUAAGCAUAUCAAUAAGCGGAGGAGAAGAAACUUACGAGGAUUCCCUUA
rnacentral:rRNA from 5 species